rnacentral:rRNA from 1 species
AACGUAGGAGACGAACGUUAUCCGGAGUUACUGGGCGUAAAGCGCGCGCAGGCGGCGCGAUAAGACCGGCGUGAAAGCCCCCGGCUCAACCGGGGAGGGUCGUUGGUGACUGUCGCGCUUGAAGGCAGUAGGGGUGAGUGGAACUCCCGGUGUAGUGGUGAAAUGCGUAGAGAUCGGGAAGAACACCCGUGGCGAAGGCGGCUCACUGGGCUGACCUUGACGCUGAGGCGCGAAGGCGUGGGGAGCGAACGGG